GACGAACGCUGGCGGCGUGCUUAACACAUGCAAGUCGAACGGAAAGGCCCUGCUUUUGUGGGGUGCUCGAGUGGCGAACGGGUGAGUAACACUAGAGUAACCUGCCCUUGCCUUUGGGAUAACUUCAGGAAACUGGGGCUAAUACCGGAUAGGAGCUCCUGCUGCAUGGUGGGUGUUGGAACGUUUCGGCGGUUGGGGAUGGACUCGCGGCUUAUCUGCUUGUUGGUGGGGUAGUGGCUUACCAAGGCUUUGACGGGUAGCCGGCCUGAGAGGGUGACCGGCCACAUUGGGACUGAGCUACGGCCCAGAGUCCUACGGGAGGCUGCAGUGGGGAAUAUUGCACAAUGGGCGGAAGCCUGAUGCAGCAACGCCGCGUGCGGGAUGACGGCCUUCGGGUUGUAAACCGCUUUCGCCUGUGACGAAGCGUGAGUGACGGUAAUGGGUAAAGAAGCACCGGCUAACUACGUG
rnacentral:rRNA from 1 species